GAUGAACGCUGGCGGCAUGCCUAAUACAUGCAAGUCGAACGAAGUUUCGAGGAAGCUUGCUUCCAAAGAGACUUAGUGGCGAACGGGUGAGUAACACGUAGGUAACCUGCCCAUGUGUCCGGGAUAACUGCUGGGAACGGUAGCUAAAACCGGAUAGGUAUACAGAGCGCAUGCUCAGUAUAUUAAAGCGCCCUUCAAGGCGUGAACAUGGAUGGACCUGCGGCGCAUUAGCUGGUUGGUGAGGUAACGGCCCACCAAGGCGAUGAUGCGUAGCCGGCCUGAGAGGGUAAACGGCCACAUUGGGACUGAGACACGGCCCAA
rnacentral:rRNA from 1 species